rnacentral:misc_RNA from 1 species
GAAACCAGCGCCAUCUUGUAAUGGA